GGGGAAUUUUGGACAAUGGGCGAAAGCCUGAUCCAGCCAUGCCGCGUGAGUGAAGAAGGCCUUCGGGUUGUAAAGCUCUUUCGGUGGGGAAGAAAUUGCACGGGUUAAUACCCUGUGUAGAUGACGGUACCUGGAGAAGAAGCACCGGCUAACUACGUGCCAGCAGCCGCGGUAAUACGUAGGGUGCGAGCGUUAAUCGGAAUUACUGGGCGUAAAGCGUGCGCAGGCGGUUUGGUAAGUCAGAUGUGAAAUCCCCGGGCUCAACCUGGGAACUGCAUUUGAGACUGCCAAGCUGGAGUUUGGCAGAGGGGGGUGGAAUUCCACGUGUAGCAGUGAAAUGCGUAGAGAUGUGGAGGAACACCGAUGGCGAAGGCAGCCCCCUGGGCCAAUACUGACGCUCAUGCACGAAAGCGUGGGGAGCAAAC
rnacentral:rRNA from 1 species